rnacentral:rRNA from 1 species
GACGAACGCUGGCGGCGUGCUUAACACAUGCAAGUCGAACGGAAAGGCCCUGCUUUUGUGGGGUGCUCGAGUGACGAACGGGUGAGUAACACGUGAGUAACCUGCCCUUGACUUUGGGAUAACUUCAGGAAACUGGGGCUAAUACCGGAUAGGAGCUCCUGCUGCAUGGUGGGGGUUGGAAAGUUUCGGCGGUUGGGGAUGGACUCGCGGCUUAUCAGCUUGUUGGUGGGGUAGUGGCUUACCAAGGCUUUGACGGGUAGCCGGCCUGAGAGGGUGACCGGCCACAUUGGGACUGAGAUACGGCCCAGACUCCUACGGGAGGCAGCAGUGGGGAAUAUUGCACAAUGGGCGGAAGCCUGAUGCAGCAACGCCGCGUGCGGGAUGACGGCCUUCGGGUUGUAAACCGCUUUCGCCUGUGACGAAGCGUGAGUGACGGUAAUGGGUAAAGAAGCACCGGCUAACUACGUGCCAGCAGCCGCGGUGAUACGUAGGGUGCGAGCGUUGUCCGGAUUUAUUGGGCGUAAAGGGCUCGUAGGUGGUUGAUCGCGUCGGAAGUGUAAUCUUGGGGCUUAACCCUGAGCGUGCUUUCGAUACGGGUUGACUUGAGGAAGGUAGGGGAGAAUGGAAUUCCUGGUGGAGCGGUGGAAUGCGCAGAUAUCAGGAGGAACACCAGUGGCGAAGGCGGUUCUCUGGGCCUUUCCUGACGCUGAGGAGCGAAAGCGUGGGGAGCGAACAGGCUUAGAUACCCUGGUAGUCCACGCUGUAAACGGUGGGUACUAGGUGUGGGGUCCAUUCCACGGGUUCCGUGCCGUAGCUAACGCUUUAAGUACCCCGCCUGGGGAGUAUGGCCGCAAGGCUAAAACUCAAAGGAAUUGACGGGGCCCCGCACAAGCGGCGGAGCAUGCGGAUUAAUUCGAUGCAACGCGUAGAACCUUACCUGGGUUUGACAUGGAUCGGGAGUGCUCAGAGAUGGGUGUGCCUCUUUUGGGGUCGGUUCACAGGUGGUGCAUGGCUGUCGUCAGCUCGUGUCGUGAGAUGUUGGGUUAAGUCCCGCAACGAGCGCAACCCUUGUUCACUGUUGCCAGCACGUUAUGGUGGGGACUCAGUGGAGACCGCCGGGGUCAACUCGGAGGAAGGUGGGGAUGACGUCAAGUCAUCAUGCCCCUUAUGUCCAGGGCUUCACGCAUGCUACAAUGGCUGGUACAGAGAGUGGCGAGCCUGUGAGGGUGAGCGAAUCUCGGAAAGCCGGUCUCAGUUCGGAUUGGGGUCUGCAACUCGACCUCAUGAAGUCGGAGUCGCUAGUAAUCGCAGAUCAGCAACGCUGCGGUGAAUACGUUCCCGGG